rnacentral:misc_RNA from 1 species
UGUACUUGCUGGAAUAGGAUUUGACAGAAACCACUGACUUCCUAGCGCUACCAAACAAUUGUUCCUGAAAUUAGCAAUUUCAAAGGCAUGGGAAAGAGUCGAAGGCCUCACAAGUCUCAACACUGGUCUUAUUUCAUCCUUUAACCCACCAAUGAACCCAAAAAGAAAAUAGUUUUCAUCAAGAUAAGGCAUAAUCCUCUCCAUUCUAACCCAGAGUUCUUCAAAUUUAUCUUGAUAUUCUGCAACAGAACCUUCUUGCCUCAUUCUCAUGAAUUCUUCUACUACAUCCUCUGUCCCUUCAUCCCCAAACCUA